CCUACGGGCGACAGCAGUGGGGGAUAUUGCACAAUGGGGGAAACCCUGAUGCAGCGACGCCGCGUGUGGGAAGACGGUCCUCUGGAUUGUAAACCACUGUCCCCAGGGACGAAGAUGACGGUACCUGGGGAGGAAGCGCCGGCUAACUACGUGCCAGCAGCCGCGGGAAGACGGAGGGAGCGAGCGUGGUCCGGACUUACGGGGUGUAAAGGGAGCGGAGGCGGGACUGCAAGUUGGUUGUCAAAUCUACCGGCUCAACCGGUAGCCGCACUCAAAACUGCAGUUCUUGAGUGAAGUAGAGGCAGGCGGACUUCCUAGUGUAGCGGUGAAAUGCGUCGAUAUUAGGAGGAACACCAGUGGCGACGGCGGCCUGCUGGGCUUUUCCUGACGCUGCGGCUC
rnacentral:rRNA from 1 species